UACGUAGGGUGCGAGCGUUGCCCGGAUUUAUUGGGCGUAAAGGGCGCGUAGGCGGCCACGCACGUCCGUUGUGAAAUCGCCCGGCUCAACUGGGCGGGGUCGGCGGAUACGGCGUGGCUGGAGCAAGCUAGGGGGCAAUGGAAUUCCCGGUGUAGUGGUGGAAUGCGUAGAUAUCGGGAGGAACACCAGUGGCGAAGGCGACUUCCUGGCCUGUUCUUGACGCUGAGGCGCGAAAGCUGGGGGAGCAAACGGG
rnacentral:rRNA from 1 species